CAUGCAGAGAACUUUCCAGAGAUGGAUUGAUCCCUUCGGGAAUUCUGACACAGGUGCUCAGUGUCCGUUGUCAGCUCGUGUCGUGAGAUUGUGGGUAAAGUCCCGUAACGAGCGCACACCUUUUCCUUAGUUACCAGCUCGUUAUGGUGGGCACCCUAAGGUGACGGCCGGUGACAAACCGGAGGAAGGUGGGGAUGACGUCAAGUCACCACGGCCCUUACGGCCGGGGCUACACCCGUGCUACAAUGGUCGGAACAGCGGGUUGCCAACCCGCGAGGGGGAGCAAAUCUCCCAAACCCGACCGUAGUCCGGAUCGCACUCGCCAACUCGGCUGCGGGAAGUCGGAAGGCUAGAAAUCACGAAUCAGAAGGAAGCGG
rnacentral:rRNA from 1 species